AUGGCUCAGAUUGAACGCUGGCGGCAGGCCUAACACAUGCAAGUCGAGCGGUAACACAGGAGAGCUUGCUCUCUGGGUGACGAGCGGCGGACGGGUGAGUAAUGUCUGGGAAACUGCCCGAUGGAGGGGGAUAACUACUGGAAACGGUAGCUAAUACCGCAUAACGUCUUCGGACCAAAGAGGGGGACCUUCGGGCCUCUUGCCAUCGGAUGUGCCCAGAUGGGAUUAGCUAGUAGGUGGGGUAAUGGCUCACCUAGGCGACGAUCCCUAGCUGGUCUGAGAGGAUGACCAGCCACACUGGAACUGAGACACGGUCCAGACUCCUACGGGAGGCAGCAGUGGGGAAUAUUGCACAAUGGGCGCAAGCCUGAUGCAGCCAUGCCGCGUGUAUGAAGAAGGCCUUCGGGUUGUAAAGUACUUUCAGCGAGGAGGAAGGCGUUGCGGUUAAUAACCGCAGCGAUUGACGUUACUCGCAGAAGAAGCACCGGCUAACUCCGUGCCAGCAGCCGCGGUAAUACGGAGGGUGCAAGCGUUAAUCGGAAUUACUGGGCGUAAAGCGCACGCAGGCGGUCUGUCAAGUCGGAUGUGAAAUCCCCGGGCUCAACCUGGGAACUGCAUUCGAAACUGGCAGGCUAGAGUCUUGUAGAGGGGGGUAGAAUUCCAGGUGUAGCGGUGAAAUGCGUAGAGAUCUGGAGGAAUACCGGUGGCGAAGGCGGCCCCCUGGACAAAGACUGACG
rnacentral:rRNA from 1 species